UUUGGGCUAGGGGGUCAUCCCGACUUACCAAACCCAUGCAAACUCCGAAUACCGAGAAGUGCAAUUACGGGAGACACACGGCGGGUGAUAACGUCCGUCGUGGAAAGGGAAACAACCCAGACCAUCAGCUAAGGUCCCAAAAUUAUGGCUCAGUGGAAAACGAUGUGGGAAGGCCCAGACAGCUAGGAGGUUGGCUUAGAAGCAGCCAUCCUUUAAAGAAAGCGUAAUAGCUCACUAGUCGAGUCGGCCUGCGCGGAAGAUGUAACGGGGCUCAAACCAGGCACCGAAGCCGCGGAUUCACACUAAGUGUGAGUGGUAGGGGAGCGUUCUGUAAGUCUGCGAAGGUGUAUCGAGAGGUAUGCUGGAGAUAUCAGAAGUGCGAAUGCUGACGUAAGUAACGAUAAAGGGGGUGAAAAGCCUCCUCGCCGGAAGACCAAGGGUUCCUGUCCAACGUUAAUCGGGGCAGGGUGAGUCGACCCCUAAGGCGAGGCUGAAAAGCGUAGUCGAUGGAAAACAGGUUAAUAUUCCUGUACUUCCAGUUAUUGCGAUGGAGGGACGGAGAAGGCUAGGCCAGCUUGGCGUUGGUUGUCCAAGUUUAAGGUGGUAGGCUGAAAUCUUAGGCAAAUCCGGGAUUUCAAGGCCGAGAGCUGAUGACGAGUGCUCAUUAGAGCGCGAAGUGGUUGAUGCCAUGCUUCCAAGAAAAGCUCCUAAGCUUCAGAUAACUGGGAACCGUACCCCAAACCGACACAGGUGGUUAGGUAGAGAAUACUAAGGCGCUUGAGAGAACUCGGGUGAAGGAACUAGGCAAAAUGGCACCGUAACUUCGGGAGAAGGUGCGCCGGUGAGGGUGAAGCACUUGCUGCGUAAGCCCACGCCGGUCGAAGAUACCAGGCCGCUGCGACUGUUUAUUAAAAACACAGCACUCUGCAAACUCGAAAGAGGACGUAUAGGGUGUGACGCCUGCCCGGUGCUGGAAG
rnacentral:rRNA from 1 species